rnacentral:rRNA from 1 species
UAGGGAAUCUUCCGCAAUGGGCGAAAGCCUGACGGAGCAACGCCGCGUGAGUGAUGAAGGUCUUCGGAUCGUAAAACUCUGUUAUUAGGGAAGAACAAAUGUGUAAGUAACUAUGCACGUCUUGACGGUACCUAAUCAGAAAGCCACGGCUAACUACGUGCCAGCAGCCGCGGUAAUACGUAGGUGGCAAGCGCUAUCCGGAAUUAUUGGGCGUAAAGCGCGCGUAGGCGGUUUUUUAAGUCUGAUGUGAAAGCCCACGGCUCAACCGUGGAGGGUCAUUGGAAACUGGAAAACUUGAGUGCAGAAGAGGAAAGUGGAAUUCCAUGUGUAGCGGUGAAAUGCGCAGAGAUAUGGAGGAACACCAGUGGCGAAGGCGACUUUCUGGUCUGUAACUGACGCUGAUGUGCGAAAGCGUGGGGAUCAAACAGG